rnacentral:tRNA from 1 species
GCCGCGGUAGCUCAGUUGGUAGAGCCUCGGACGCAUUAUUCGAAGGUCGCAGGUUCGGUUCCUGCCCGCGGCA